rnacentral:rRNA from 1 species
AGAUUGAACGCUGGCGGCAUGCCUUACACAUGCAAGUCGAACGGCAGCACGGGGGCAACCCUGGUGGCGAGUGGCGAACGGGUGAGUAAUGCAUCGGAACGUGCCCAGUAGUGGGGGAUAACUAGUCGAAAGAUUAGCUAAUACCGCAUACGACCUAUGGGUGAAAGCGGGGGAUUCGCAAGAACCUCGCGCUAUCGGAGCGGCCGAUGUCUGAUUAGCUAGUUGGCGGGUAAAGCCCUCAAGGCUUCGAUCAGUAGCUGGUCUGAGAGGACGACCAGCCACACUGGGACU